rnacentral:rRNA from 1 species
GACGUAGGGGGCAAGCGUUGUCCGGAAUUAUUGGGCGUAAAGCGCGCGCAGGUGGUUUCUUAAGUCUGAUGUGAAAGCCCACGGCUCAACCGUGGAGGGUCAUUGGAAACUGGGGAACUUGAGUGCAGAAGAGGAAAGUGGAAUUCCAAGUGUAGCGGUGAAAUGCGUAGAGAUUUGGAGGAACACCAGUGGCGAAGGCGACUUUCUGGUCUGUAACUGACACUGAGGCGCGAAAGCGUGGGGAGCGAACAGG